rnacentral:rRNA from 1 species
GCUCCAAUAGCGUAUAUUUAAGUUGUUGCAGUUAAAAAGCUCGUAGUUGGAUUUCGGGCGGCGCCGCCGGUCCGCCUUUGGGUGUGCACUGGUGCGCGUCGUCUUCUCGAUGAGGACGCGCUCUCGUGCUUUACUGCGCGGGACGCGGAGUCAUCACAGUUACUUUGAAAAAAUUAGAGUGUUCAAAGCGGGCUUACGCU